rnacentral:rRNA from 1 species
CCCUUAGAUGUUCUGGGCCGCACGCGCGCUACACUGACGAUGGCAACGAGUUUUUCCUUCGCCGAAAGGUGUGGGUAAUCUUUUGAAACAUCGUCGUGCUGGGGAUAGAUCAUUGCAAUCUUUGAUCUUGAACGAGGAAUUCCUAGUAAGCGCGAGUCAUCAGCUCGCGUUGAUUACGUCCCUGCCCUUUGUACACACCGCCCGUCGCUACUACCGAUUGAAUGGUUUAGUGAGGACUCCUGAUUGGCGCCGCCGCCCCGGCAACGGAGCAGCGGACUGCCGAAAAGUUGUUCAAACUUGAUCAUUUAGAGGAAGUAAAAGUCGUAACA